GGUUAAGCGACUAAGCGUACACGGUGGAUGCCCUGGCAGUCAGAGGCGAUGAAGGACGUGCUAAUCUGCGAUAAGCGUCGGUAAGGUGAUAUGAACCGUUAUAACCGGCGAUUUCCGAAUGGGGAAACCCAGUGUGUUUCGACACACUAUCAUUAACUGAAUCCAUAGGUUAAUGAGGCGAACCGGGGGAACUGAAACAUCUAAGUACCCCGAGGAAAAGAAAUCAACCGAGAUUCCCCCAGUAGCGGCGAGCGAACGGGGAGGAGCCCAGAGCCUGAAUCAGUGUGUGUGUUAGUGGAAGCGUCUGGAAAGGCGCGCGAUACAGGGUGACAGCCCCGUACACAAAAAUGCACAUACUGUGAGCUCGAUGAGUAGGGCGGGACACGUGGUAUCCUGUCUGAAUAUGGGGGGACCAUCCUCCAAGGCUAAAUACUCCUGACUGACCGAUAGUGAACCAGUACCGUGAGGGAAAGGCGAAAAGAACCCCGGCGAGGGGAGUGAAAAAGAACCUGAAACCGUGUACGUACAAGCAGUGGGAGCACAGAGCAAUCUGUGUGACUGCGUACCUUUUGUAUAAUGGGUCAGCGACUUAUAUUCUGUAGCAAGGUUAACCGAAUAGGGGAGCCGAAGGGAAACCGAGUCUUAACUGGGCGUUAAGUUGCAGGGUAUAGACCCGAAACCCGGUGAUCUAGCCAUGGGCAGGUUGAAGGUUGGGUAACACUAACUGGAGGACCGAACCGACUAAUGUUGAAAAAUUAGCGGAUGACUUGUGGCUGGGGGUGAAAGGCCAAUCAAACCGGGAGAUAGCUGGUUCUCCCCGAAAGCUAUUUAGGUAGCGCCUCGUGAAUUCAUCUCCGGGGGUAGAGCACUGUUUCGGCAAGGGGGUCAUCCCGACUUACCAACCCGAUGCAAACUGCGAAUACCGGAGAAUGUUAUCACGGGAGACACACGGCGGGUGCUAACGUCCGUCGUGAAGAGGGAAACAACCCAGACCGCCAGCUAAGGUCCCAAAGUCAUGGUUAAGUGGGAAACGAUGUGGGAAGGCCCAGACAGCCAGGAUGUUGGCUUAGAAGCAGCCAUCAUUUAAAGAAAGCGUAAUAGCUCACUGGUCGAGUCGGCCUGCGCGGAAGAUGUAACGGGGCUAAACCAUGCACCGAAGCUGCGGCAGCGACGCUUAUGCGUUGUUGGGUAGGGGAGCGUUCUGUAAGCCUGCGAAGGUGUGCUGUGAGGCAUGCUGGAGGUAUCAGAAGUGCGAAUGCUGACAUAAGUAACGAUAAAGCGGGUGAAAAGCCCGCUCGCCGGAAGACCAAGGGUUCCUGUCCAACGUUAAUCGGGGCAGGGUGAGUCGACCCCUAAGGCGAGGCCGAAAGGCGUAGUCGAUGGGAAACAGGUUAAUAUUCCUGUACUUGGUGUUACUGCGAAGGGGGGACGGAGAAGGCUAUGUUGGCCGGGCGACGGUUGUCCCGGUUUAAGCGUGUAGGCUGGUUUUCCAGGCAAAUCCGGAAAAUCAAGGCUGAGGCGUGAUGACGAGGCACUACGGUGCUGAAGCAACAAAUGCCCUGCUUCCAGGAAAAGCCUCUAAGCAUCAGGUAACAUCAAAUCGUACCCCAAACCGACACAGGUGGUCAGGUAGAGAAUACCAAGGCGCUUGAGAGAACUCGGGUGAAGGAACUAGGCAAAAUGGUGCCGUAACUUCGGGAGAAGGCACGCUGAUAUGUAGGUGAAGUCCCUCGCGGAUGGAGCUGAAAUCAGUCGAAGAUACCAGCUGGCUGCAACUGUUUAUUAAAAACACAGCACUGUGCAAACACGAAAGUGGACGUAUACGGUGUGACGCCUGCCCGGUGCCGGAAGGUUAAUUGAUGGGGUUAGCGCAAGCGAAGCUCUUGAUCGAAGCCCCGGUAAACGGCGGCCGUAACUAUAACGGUCCUAAGGUAGCGAAAUUCCUUGUCGGGUAAGUUCCGACCUGCACGAAUGGCGUAAUGAUGGCCAGGCUGUCUCCACCCGAGACUCAGUGAAAUUGAACUCGCUGUGAAGAUGCAGUGUACCCGCGGCAAGACGGAAAGACCCCGUGAACCUUUACUAUAGCUUGACACUGAACAUUGAGCCUUGAUGUGUAGGAUAGGUGGGAGGCUUUGAAGUGUGGACGCCAGUCUGCAUGGAGCCGACCUUGAAAUACCACCCUUUAAUGUUUGAUGUUCUAACGUUGACCCGUAAUCCGGGUUGCGGACAGUGUCUGGUGGGUAGUUUGACUGGGGCGGUCUCCUCCUAAAGAGUAACGGAGGAGCACGAAGGUUGGCUAAUCCUGGUCGGACAUCAGGAGGUUAGUGCAAUGGCAUAAGCCAGCUUGACUGCGAGCGUGACGGCGCGAGCAGGUGCGAAAGCAGGUCAUAGUGAUCCGGUGGUUCUGAAUGGAAGGGCCAUCGCUCAACGGAUAAAAGGUACUCCGGGGAUAACAGGCUGAUACCGCCCAAGAGUUCAUAUCGACGGCGGUGUUUGGCACCUCGAUGUCGGCUCAUCACAUCCUGGGGCUGAAGUAGGUCCCAAGGGUAUGGCUGUUCGCCAUUUAAAGUGGUACGCGAGCUGGGUUUAGAACGUCGUGAGACAGUUCGGUCCCUAUCUGCCGUGGGCGCUGGAGAACUGAGGGGGGCUGCUCCUAGUACGAGAGGACCGGAGUGGACGCAUCACUGGUGUUCGGGUUGUCAUGCCAAUGGCACUGCCCGGUAGCUAAAUGCGGAAGAGAUAAGUGCUGAAAGCAUCUAAGCACGAAACUUGCCCCGAGAUGAGUUCUCCCUGACUCCUUGAGAGUCCUGAAGGAACGUUGAAGACGACGACGUUGAUAGGCCGGGUGUGUAAGCGCAGCGAUGCGUUGAGCUAACCGGUACUAAUGAACCGUGAGGCUUAACCUU
rnacentral:rRNA from 1 species